AGAGUUUGAUCAUGGCUCAGAUUGAACGCUGGCGGCAGGCCUAACACAUGCAAGUCGAGCGGAUGAAGAGAGCUUGCUCUCUGAUUCAGCGGCGGACGGGUGAGUAAUGCCUAGGAAUCUGCCUGGUAGUGGGGGACAACGUUUCGAAAGGAACGCUAAUACCGCAUACGUCCUACGGGAGAAAGCAGGGGACCUUCGGGCCUUGCGCUAUCAGAUGAGCCUAGGUCGGAUUAGCUAGUUGGUGGGGUAAUUGCUCACCAAGGCGACGAUCCGUAACUGGUCUGAGAGGAUGAUCAGUUACACUGGAACUGAGACACGGUCCAGACUCCUACGGGAGGCAGCAGUGGGGAAUAUUGGACAAUGGGCGAAGGCCUGAUCCAGCCAUGCCGCGUGUGUGAAGAGGGCCUUCGGGUUGUAAAGCACUUUCAGCGAGGAAGAACACCUUGGGAUUAAUACUCCCGAGGAAAGACAUCACUCGCAGAAGAAGCACCGGCUAACUCCGUGCCAGCAGCCGCGGUAAUACGGAGGGUGCAAGCGUUAAUCGGAAUUACUGAGCGUAAGGCGCGCGUAGGUGGCUAAGUCAGCCAGGUGUGAAAGCCCCGGGCUCAACCUGGGAACUGCAUUCAAAACUGACAAGCUAGAGUAUGGUAGAGGGUGGUGGAAUUUCCUGUGUAGCGGUGAAAUGCGUAGAGAUCGGGAGGAAUACCAGUGGCGAAGGCGGCCUUCUGGACUGACACUGACACUGAGGUGCGAAAGCGUGGGUAGCAAACAGGAUUAGAUACCCCGGUAGUCC
rnacentral:rRNA from 1 species